CAGUCGCCGCGGUAAUACAGAGGGUGCGAGCGUUAAUCGGAUUUACUGGGCGUAAAGCGCACGCAGGCGGUCUGUCAAGUCAGAUGUGAAAGCCCUGGGCUCAACCUGGGAAUUGCAGUGGAUACUGGGUCACUAGAGUGUGGUAGAGGAUAGUGGAAUUUCCGGUGUAGCAGUGAAAUGCGUAGAGAUCGGAAGGAACAUCUGUGGCGAAGGCGACUAUCUGGGCCAACACUGACACUGAGGCACGAAAGCGUGGGGAGCAAACAGGAUUAGAUACCCCAGUAGUCCCUGUCUCUUAUAA
rnacentral:rRNA from 1 species